AAACUGUUACAACAAAGUUGGAAGCACAGAAUCAUCUAGAAUGUCAUUGUAUUCUGUAGCGUUAAGAUUUCCCUUCACUGGAACUCAGGGUUCUAACCCGAACCAUGAAAAACAGCCCCAGACCAUUAUUCCUGCUCCACCAAACUUUACAGUCGGCACUAUGCAUUGGGGCAGGUAGCGUUUUCUGGCAGCCGCCAAACCCACAUUUGCCUGUCGGACUGCCAGAUGGUGAAGUGUGAUUCAUCACUCCAGAGAACCCGUUUCCACUGCUCCAGAGUCCAAUGGUGGGGAGCUUUACAACACUCCAGCCAACGCUUGGCAUUGGUGAUUUUAGGCUUGUGUGCGGCUGCUCGGCCAUGGAAACCCAUGACAUUGCUUCCAGAGGCAGUUUGGAACUCACUAGUGAGUGUUGCAACUGAGGAAAGAUGAUUUUUAGGUCCCGUUCUGUGAGCUUGUGUGGCCUACCACUUUGUGGCGGCUGAGAUUGUUGCUCCUAGACGUUUCCACUUCACAAUAAAAGGCCUUACUAGUUGACCGUGGCAGCUCUAGCAGGUUGGACAUUUGACAAACUGACUUGUUGGAAAGGUGGCAUCCUAUGACGGUGCCACGUUGAAAGUCACUGAGCUCUUCAGUAAGGCCAUUCUACUGCCAAUGUUUGUCUAUGGAGAUCGCAUGGUGGUGUGCUCGAUUUUAUACACCUGUCAGCAACGGGUUGUGGCUGAUAUAGCCAAAUCCACUCAUUUGAAGGGGUGUCCACAUACUUUUGUAUAUACAGUGUACCUUCUCUCUCCUUUGUGGACAUUUUGGGCUCCUCUACAACACUUGGUUUCUUUCAUGGUAAUCUGGUCUGGGAUUUUGCACACAACAUUCUUCUCGAUCCCGGCUCUUUCAUUGCAGGCGACUGCAGACUGAUCUACAAAGAAUCUUACAUCAUAAAUAACUUUUCAUUAUUAUUUGUACAUCGGUCAGUCACAAUUUAACUAUGAUACAUUACGGUUUUGAUCCUCUAGAACACCGCCAUUGUCAACACAAAUAGUGGGAACGGUCAAGGUUGUCGUUAUUUCGAGCGCGUUGCGCAGAUGGACAGAUCUUUACGUGAUGCUAUAAUUCGUGCCAUGGGUAACUGCAAACCUGGAGUUUCUGGGAGUGGGCGUGUCAAUAGAAGUGGGAGGAUCAACCGAAGUGGGUGUAUGGAAAGUGGAUCAGCUAAUUCGGCGAAUGUGUUGCCACUCAAGACCGUUCUGCGUGGCUGCUGUGUUUUCAAACAUUCUGAGGAAUUUCCUUUAGGCUAACAUUUUGCCAUUCACAUUGAGCUGUGUCUUUGGUGUAGCUACGUAAGUUCUUCACAGAUGUAUACUAGCUUUUUAUUUACGUCUAACACUAACGUGGCUAUAAUUAACGUGGCACAUUGUACAUAGAUUUUUCUAUUUUUAUUUUGUGUUAUUGACUGUAUGUUUGUUUAUGUGUAACUCUGUGUUGUUGUUUGUGUCGCACUGCUUUGCUUUAACUUGGCCAGGUCGCAGUUGUAAAUGACAACUUGUACUCAACUGGCCUCCCUGGUUAAAUAAUUAAAUAAAGGUGAAAUAAAAAAUAAAUACAUAAAAAAUAAUCUACCAAGCUAGUUAGUUAAGUUAGUUAACCUAUCCAGUUAAAGUAGCUAUAUCAUCACUGAGAGUCCUGUUUUCUGUGAGCAAUUGUUAACUAACGUUAUCGACGCAUCUAACUAACUAGCUAACUAUCUUACUAAACUAUGUGUCAUUUAUGUUUGUUUUUUACAGCAUAUCACAGUUUUUAAAGCUGCUGAUGGCCGCAUGGUUUUAUCCCAGUGCCAUUGCUCUUUCUGCCAGCCCCGACACUAUGCCAGUUUGCGGGCGCACAUUAAGUCUCACAUAGUUGAGGCUGUGCCGCACCGAGGUAAGCACAUGUAAUUGCGUCAACAUAUUUAAAAAAUCACAUAUGAAAAUGAUGAUUUCCCAGUAAGUGUAUUUAUUAAGGAUCCCCAAUAGUUCCUGCCAAGGCAGCAGCUACUCUUCACAGGGGUUUAUAAUGGGUUUGAAAUAUGUGAUGUCUGCGUGCUGUUUUUUUUCACUGACAGAUUUGCCUCUCGUUCCCGAAGCUAUUGAUCCUCUGUGGCUAAAUUAUAGGCCUUUUCGUUGUGUAGUAGGCUAUUCUGAAUUAAUUCUAGAACGUUGGGAAAUGUAUUUUAAUUUAUCAGAGGUGCUGCAGUUAGUUCAGAACCCUUCAUGUUGGUAUGAUUCUAUAAGGAAAUAAAUGAUGAAGUGCAACGUUGGAGAGAUUAGAGUUGCAGGUUCACGUCUAUCAGAGCAGAGAGAGGGAGAGAGACUAUAGAAAGUGAAUCUCAUUCUAGUUAUAUGAGAGAUAAAGGCGCGCUUCUCACACAGCCACAGUCAUACGUUGAUCUCAAACAUAGGUGUUACACUGUUGCGCAAACCAUAACGGUCCAAACCAAAUCAACUCUUAGAAUAUUAGGCCCGGGCUACUUUUUCACAUUACGGUUAUUUGUGGGGUGCAGGAGAAUUAAUGGAGAGGCAACUCAAAUUAACUUUGAUCGCGUUUAUUAACGUACCGGAUCCGGCCAAAUAGGUUCUGGAAUAAAACAGUCCAAAACGGAGAGGUGCCGGAUCCUAUUUCUGAUCGGAUCCGGUUCAAAUUAAGCACCGGACGACAUUCACUGCUAUAAACCUGUCUCCAAUAUAACCACAUCAUUUACACAGACUCGCCGCAAAUCUUGUUGUGAAUAGGCGUUCCCUGGUCUGUUUUGUCAACGAGCUCAAUGUAUUCCAAUGGCCUGUGGUAACAAGAUGCUCCCAAUAAUUGGUAGCCUAGUGGAUGGAACAUUUUAUUGAGACGACACUAGGCGCACUUGAUAUUGCGCGCCAGCAGAUAAUCGGGUAUUUAUGGCAUCCUCAGGCACACAUGAGAUACUAUAAUAAGCGACUCAUUUUCAAACCUUGAUAAGACAUUUAAUUGAUUACAAAUUACAUAACCCUCCCCGGGAUCAAUUGAACAAAAAAAGAAAGAAAGUACUAACCCUCCUC
rnacentral:lncRNA from 13 species